rnacentral:rRNA from 1 species
GUGAACGCUGGCGGCGUGCCUAACACAUGCAAGUCGAACGAUGAUGGAGAGCUUGCUCUCCUGAUUAGUGGCGCACGGGUGAGUAUACCAUAGAUAAUGUACCUCUUAGUUUGGGAUAGCCACUGGAAACGGUGAUUAAUACCAGAUACUCCUUCUCGUUAUAAGACGAGUCGGGAAAGUUUUUUCGCUAAGAGAUCAGUCUAUGUCCUAUCAGCUAGUUGGUGAGGUAAUGGCUCACCAAGGCUAUGACGGGUAUUUGGUUUGAGAGGAUGAUCAGACACACUGGAACUGAGACACGGUCCAGACUCCUACGGGAGGCAGCAGUGAGGAAUAUUGCACAAUGGAGGAAACUCUGAUGCAGCAACGCCGCGUGGAGGAUGACGCAUUUCGGUGUGUAAACUCCUUUUAAGAGGGAAGAUAAUGACGGUACCCGAAUAAGAAGCACCGGCUAACUACGU